rnacentral:rRNA from 1 species
AAUGAACGCUGGCGGCAGGCCUAAUACAUGCAAGUCGAGCGGAGCUGCGGACGGGUGGGUAAUGACUAGGAAUCUGACCGGUAGUGGGGGAUAAGGUCCGGAAACGGGCGCUAAUACAGCAUACUAUUAGAUGAGCCUAGGGCGGAUUAGCUAGUUGGUGGGGUAAAGGCCUACCAAGGCGACGAUCCGUAGCUGAUCUGAGAGGAUGAUCAGUCACACUGGAACUGAGACACGGUCCAGACUCCUACGGGAGGCAGCAGUGGGGAAUAUUGGACAAUGGGCGAAAGCCUGAUCCAGCCAUGCCGCGUGUGUGAAGAAGGUCUUCGGAUUGUAAAGCACUUUAAGUUGGGAAGCGUUACCAACAGAAUAAGCACCGGCUAACUACGUGCCAGCAGCCGCGGUAAUAC